rnacentral:rRNA from 1 species
UACGGGGGGGGCAAGCGUUGUUCGGAAUUACUGGGAGUAAAGGGCUCGUAGGCGGCCAACUAAGUCGGACGUGAAAUCCCUCGGCUUAACCGGGGAACUGCGUCCGAUACUGGAUGGCUUGAGUUUGGGAGAGGGAUGCGGAAUUCCAGGUGUAGCGGUGAAAUGCGCAGAUAUCAGGAAGAACACCUAUGGCGAAGGCAGCUCUCUGGGACGGUACUGACGCUGAGACGCGAAAGCGUGGGGAGCGAACAGG